CCUACGGGAGGCUGCAGUAGGGAAUCUUCCACAAUGGGCGAAAGCCUGAUGGAGCAACGCCGCGUGGGUGAAGAAGGUCUUCGGAUCGUAAAACCCUGUUGUUAGAGAAGAAAGUGCGUGAGAGUAACUGUUCACGUUUCGACGGUAUCUAACCAGAAAGCCACGGCUAACUACGUGCCAGCAGCCGCGGUAAUACGUAGGUGGCAAGCGUUAUCCGGAUUUAUUGGGCGUAAGGGGAACGCAGGCGGUCUUGUAAGUCUGAUGUGAAAGCCUUCGGCUUAACCGGAGUAGUGCAUUGGAAACUGGGAGGCUUGAGUGCAGGAGAGGAGAGUGGAACUCCAUGUGUAGCGGUGAAAUGCGUAGAUAUAUGGAAGAACACCAGUGGCGAAAGCGGCUCUCUGGUCUGUAACUGACGCUGAGGUUCGAAAGCGUGGGUAGCAAACAGGAUUAGAUACCCUUGUAGUC
rnacentral:rRNA from 1 species